AGUAGAAGAAAAGAUAGUGAGUAAGACUGAUCGUUCCGGAUAAGAUUGAUUACAGAUACUUCUUCUGGUUCCUGUCUUUAAGUACAGCUAAAACCACUAGGCAUUAUAUACAAAACACUCUUUCUCUCAGUUAAAAAACUGGUUGGAUCUUUGUUUCUCUCUACAACCACCUAGUUUUCCAGAUAGCUUUUUGCUCUGUGGCUUCAGAUAUCUGGUGCAUUGAAGAAAAGUUAAAGUCUUCCCAAUUAUUUUCUUGUUUUAUGAAUAGAAGCAAUGCUCUUGCCUGCUCUCUAUUUCUCUGAGUUGUAACUGAACAUCAUCAGUUGUUUUUUGACAAAUGUUCCAGGGUAAUUUGAUGGGAAAAUGAUGAUUGUUUUCAA
rnacentral:lncRNA from 1 species